rnacentral:sRNA from 2 species
CCAGCCAACUCCAACAUCACCCCAGCUCCUUUGUUGAAUAUCCCUGGAUAGAUAACCACCGCUUCCGUCAGCUCCCCUGGAUUUGAUAUUCUGUUUUCUUCUUGCCUUCAAUUGUACUUACUAAUUAUCAUUUCCCCGUCGUCCUCUUCCAAAUUUUGCAUCUCGGGUUCCUUCCUUGGCUUGCCUCAUCGGCAAACAUAUCCAU